rnacentral:lncRNA from 1 species
UAAGAAUUAAACGAACAUCUACAUCAUACACAUAUCACUCAAAACUUAUAUACUAUAGUGUGGUAUUUAUUCCUAAUUUGCUUGUCAAAUCUAAUACAUGCAAUACAAGUGUACCUUACUAGUGAUGCAUCUAUACUACUAUUAAAAAAAUCAAACAUGACUUCCCCUAUGUGCACCCCAGAAAGUGCACACAGGAUAACCCCAAACGUUCGAUCAAACCCACAUAGUUGCAUCCAACGGUCCAUGUUACAUCCACCAUACUACAAACAGAUCUACGGUUCAAAACAAAUGUUCUGCCGGCAGACUCCCCCGUUCAGGAUUUGACAUAGCCCAGCGAUGACACCCCCCGGGAAUUAAAUAGAACCUCCGUGAUCAAAGCCGCCACCACGCCACGAUCCUCCACCAUCAACGCUGCCAUCACGCCACGAACCUUGCCUCGGCCAGCCGCCCUCGCCCCUGGUGUCCACGACAUCCUCGACCCACCUUGCUUCCCUACCUCCCCUCGCCCGCCGUCCCCACCACGCCGCUCUCACCCUGUCCACGACGUCCUCGACCCAGCGCGCUGCCCUACCUCCGGUGUCAUCACCCCAUGUGGGCAGCAACAUCUCGACCUGCCAGUACCACAUGUUAGAUCAAUUUAUACUGCACGUCUUAUGAUCUGACAGAAGACAAAGGAAAUUGCUCUUUGAAUCUGACAGUCUGAAAUUUGUACUGUGAAAUUUGAUACUUACAGUACAUCAUGAACAAACUGAGUUGAUGAAGGGUUGAAUAAGUGUUUCACAAAAAAACCAUUGAGAAGACAAUAUGGCAUCCUCUCAACGUAGUGGGGUACGUACUCCCUUUCAGGACCUGACAAACAACAACAACAGUUCAGGUAAAUACAUAUAUCACCUACUCUUACCUACUUAGAUCUUGUAGAUCCAGAAUAUGUCAUUGUGUCGCAGGUCAAAAAAUAAAUCCAAAAGAGCUGAAGAAACAGAGGGAAAGGGAGAGGUAUGCACUAAACAGGGAUGCAAUAUUAAAGAAAAGACAGGAGGCAAGGGAUCGUAAGAAAGCUACGGGUGCUAUUCUAAAUGGAAUCAACACUCCGUCUAAGCCACACAUGGCCAUGUCGCCUGGUUACUCCAUUUUCUCUGUUUUUCUCAUGCAUUUCAUUAAUCACAUGUAAAAUCAUGUUAAUUAAGUGUUCUUUUGGACAGGUUUUGACACUAUGGAGAGGCCUAGUACGCAGUCUACUGUCACCCAGCAACGACACACAUCAGCUACCGAAGGUCAUGCGUUCUCCUACAUCCAACCAUAAUACCGGCAUUAGUGUGUCAACAGCUGACAUUGUACAUACAAUUAUGAUGCAGGCAUACCUGUUGAUGUGAUAAUGAGUGAUCAGACUCCACUUGAUGGUCCAAAUUCAUUAAGAACACCAGAUACUGCUGUUUCUAACAAGGAAAAUGUCAAUAAUAUCGACUCUGCCAUUGGGUCCUCCCAACUGACUGUGUUACCACCGCUACAUAAAUCCUACAGAGGCAGCAGUUCAUAUGGUAAUCAAUUAUGGCUCAUAUUAACUACCAUACAGAGUAAAGACAUAUUAUAUCUCUCUUCUUCCUAUGCAAGGUUUCCUAUCUAAAUUGUCAUGCUUUGGUUUUCAGAAUGACAUCAACAAGGUAGCAAAGGAUGAGGAUAUACAUAAUAUGCAGGUUGAAGACGUGAUAAAGAAUAAAGAAAGGCAAGGAUACAGACACUGAGUCGGCAGAGGUGAUAGAAGAAGAAUCUACUACAGAGGAUACAGAGAAUAUGCAGAUUGAUGAGGUGAUAACCGUACAUGAGGAUACAUAUCCCGAGUCCACAAAGGCUACACAAGAGUCCAUUACGGAGUGUUGGGGAUAUUACUAUCAGUUAUGACCCGCCCAGGAGGGGCCGGGUCAGUCCCAAUGGCGGGUUACACAAGAAGCCCAGUAAACAUUCAAGAUUAUAGUUUAUUAAGUCUUAUAGAAGGCCCAAAGGCCUGAAGGCGGUUUAAGGCCUGAUAUUGUGAACCGCCGUAUGUAAGGAAAGACUUGUAAAGAAAGACAUGUAAAGGAAGUCACCGAGCUGGACACAAUUAUGAACCGGCCGGGACUCUGUAGGCCACCAGGCGUCAACCCAUGUAUAUAAGGGGACGACCUGGUGGCGACUUAGGGUGAGAAACAACAAGUCGAUAACCAAGACGGCGAGUUGAGCCUCUUGGUGAUCGAAACCCCAGCAAUAACAAUCCCAACUAGACGUAGGCUUUUACCUUCAUCGUAAGGGGCUGAACUAGUAUAAAACCCUCUCAUGUCCUUUGUCCCGACUAACCCCUUUAAGCUUCCUAGUGCGAUGGCCCUAGGACUAAGUCCUUGCUCUAGGACAUCUGCCGUGACAAUUCCACGACAGUUGGCGCCCACCGUGGGGCCAGCGCACGGUGGAUUUGAGUUCUUGAAGGGCAGCUUCGAAGGGCUCAAGGGAUACGCUAUGGGCCGGAUGACCAAGAGUCGUCGCGGCAAGCUCUACAUCAACGACAAAGGCUGGGGCCCCGAGGCCAGCUCAAUUGAGUACGGGUACCGGGUCCCCUUCGGCGAAAUUCACGUCUUCAUCGGCCGGAUCGGCGAGUCAGGUCCUGAGCCGGACGUCCACACCGACCUCAUCGAAACGGCUCGGCGCGUGAGGACUGCCUGUGUUCAAUCUGCCGUGAAGCAUGCUUUCGUAGGCUGCAUCCACGGCGGUGAAUACUCUGAAGGAUCGGUGGAGGGCGGUGAGACGGUCGUCUGUUCUGACAUUGCAUCAUCAACGGGCGAGACGGGCUCUUUGUACCAGCUAAAGGACGGCAUGCUCGGGGGCUGUUCCGAUGGCAGCAGUAUUCCGGACCCUCUUGAGCCGCCGAAUUGGGCCGGAGUCUUCAUGGCAGGGACACAGCCCAGGCAGAACUCCACAACAGCGGUGGCAACAGCUACUGGGUCGGCUGCAGCCGGGUUAGGAGACCCCGCGCGCCCCCCGGCUCAGAUCUUGAUGGACCUCAUGGAUAAACUGACGACUCUAUUGACUGCCAUGGUAGAGCCGGCGGAUAAAGCCCAGCAUGACGCAGAGGUGGUAUGCGUACGCGAAGAGAUGGUGCAAUCUAAGGAAAAUCUAGCCGCAGAGGAAGUCAGGAUGGCAGCAGAGCGGGCGGCUUUGGACGUUCGUGCUCAACAGCUUCAAGCGGAGACCUUCCGGCUCUCAGUGGAUCUGAACGCGUCGAACAAGGUCAUGAGGAGGAGGCAUCAGAAAACCCAAUCACGUCUGCCUCUGCGCUCGAUCCUAGGAAUCUUUUUCACACACCCGGAGCUGGAGGAAGUAACCCACCGAAGGCACCCCGGAUUACAACACCCGACGCACCGGUCCAGCCGCGUGCCAUGGAUCCACCUCGUAUAAUUACCGCUCCGCCUCAUUACAUCCCAACGCCACCGGGUCACUUCUCCAACCCUUUGGAAAACCUCGUCGCAGCAUCGGCUCGUCUGGCGGCUCUUCCGAUGGAAGGUGACUCGCCAGCGGCAAUUGAAACACGGAGGGUAAGAGAACUUCUUCAAACAGCUCUGGCGCAGCAGGAUGCAUACUCCUACAGUCGAGAUAGGAUCCAUUCAACUCCUCGCCCAAGCCGGAGCCCGAGUUACAGUAGGCAUAUGGAAUCCGCAGAUAUGUCAAGCAAUGCUCAACGCCACAACCGGCCAUACAGGCAUGAGUCGGUGCGGGCUGGAGCCCUUAACUUGGCGGAUCAGGAGAGGAUUCGUCAAGAGGUAGGGCGAGGAGUUCAAAUGGCAGCAGAUCAGGCGGCUCAUCAAACUUUUCCGGCUUAUCCAGCAUCCUCGGUCGAGGCAGGAGUGGCCACAAGAACCGGAGGCUUUCCUUGCUUGGUGCCGGCCAUACGUAAUGAGCGUUUGCCAAAGGACUUUAAGGGGCCUCGUAAGGUACCUAAUUACACGGCUGACUUACAGCCCGGGGCUUGGAUUGAGAGUUAUGAGAUGGCUAUGGAGUUAUUGGAGGUCAGCGAUGCAGCAAUGGCCAAGUAUUUCACUAUGAUGUUAGAUGGAACAACUCGUACUUGGUUGAAGGGAUUGCCACCCAAUUCUAUCGGCUCAUGGGCGGAGUUGAAGGCCCGGUUCAUCUAGAACUUUAAAGACACAUGUAAGAAGCCUAUGUCGAUUGUGGACCUGACCAAUUGCAAUCAAGAGGAUGGUGAAUCCACAACCCAUUGGGUACGCCGGGUCAAGGAGAUAAUACAUUCAUCUGAUAAGAUGGAUGCCGGCUUAGCAGUAUUAAUAUUGGAUAAAAAUUGCCGUUUCAAACCUCUGAAGCAGAAGCUGGGGUGGCUCAAGCGUGACUAUAAUAACAUGGGAACGUUAAUGGAGGCUCUCGUCAAGUAUGCUGAUUCUGAUACUACCAAGGACCCGGGGUCUGACGAAGAAAAGGCAACGAAGGGAAAGAAGAACGGCAACAGCAAGGGUCACCAGCAUAACCCGGCAAAUCAAGGAGGUAAUAAACGUAAGGCUGAUGAGUUUGUUGCUAACACCAAUGCACAGGGCGGAAAUCAACGGCGUAAGGGCGGACAGCCCCCUCGGUCGGGCGGCUCAGGUCCCACCCUUGAGCAAUUAUUGAAUGAGCCUUGUCCAAGACAUGACACCCGGGAGAAGCCAGCCACCCACCUGUGGAAAGAUUGUACGAUCAUGAAGGCGUUUAAAAAUUCAAACGCGUUUGAUGGAGGUCACGGCCCAGGUAGCGGCUCAGGUGGAGGCGGUUUCCAAGGCCCGGGCGCCGGCUUAGGUGGAGGAGGAUUCCACGGUCAGGGUCAUCCUGGUAACCAAGGAGGGUAUAAUCCGCAACCCAGUCAAGGUAAUCAGUAACAACAGUCCGGAUAUCAGAGCAAUCCGAAGCAGCUAAGUAGUGGGCAGUAUCAUGUGUUCACCAUCAGUUUAUGCAAAAGGGACCAAAAACUUCAUAAGAGAGCGGUCAAUGCUGUUGAGCCGGCGGUUCCACGUUACUUACGUUGGUCAGAGCAGCCUAUUGUGUGGAGCAGAGAGGAUCACCCACCCCGGAUCGAUAAUCCGGGUCACUUGGCGUAUAUGUGUGGAUUACACUGAUCUGAACAAGGCUUGUCCGGCUGAUCCUUUUGCCCUUCCCCGUAUUGAUCAGAUCAUUGAUGGUAUGGCGGGUUGUGCACGUUUGAGUUUUUUGAAUGAGUAUUCUGGUUAUCAUCAGAUCAAGAUGGCAGUCAAAGAUCAGGAGAAGAUGACUUUUAUCACUCCUUUUGGAGCUUUCUGCUAUGUGUCUAUGCCUUUUGGGCUGAAGAGUGCCCAAGCGACUUACCAACGGUGUGUGCAGAAUUGUCUUCAUAAUCAAAUUGGACGCCUCUUGUUGAUGCUAUGAUAACCAAGGACGGAGAUACAAUCCCCGAAUCGACAGAGGCAAGUUUUCUUUCCACAUGUCAUUGCUAUUCUAAUUCUAAUGCCACAGACCGGUUUGUAAUUUUUUAGUACAAUAUCAUAUCAAAAAUAUAUUCUCUCUGUUAUAAUAUUAUAAUACCAUGUGUUUCAGCUACCGAGCAAUGAUGAAUCAAGUGAAAUACUCAACUAUAAUGAAGUGGAGGAAAAUAAUUGCACAGAGAGCCCAGAAUAUACACCUAUUCUUGAAGAAAACAUAGCAAACAGAGAAGCCAAAGAUUCUGAACAUACACAGGUGACUUUCCUGUUCCAGCCAUUUCUUCCAAAACCAUUCUAAUUAUAUUAUAUCCUACAUACGGGUAAUUCUUUUAAUAUUGUUCUCAGAAAUUAACCCACAACGAAACAAGCCAAUGGUGGCAACUGAGGACAAGAAAUUGGCACAAACACCCGGCACGGAAGGGCUUCAAACAAUAGAGGAUGAGCUAACAAUGCCCGUGCAUAUAAAGAAACAUAUAUGACGGCAUAACAAGCCUAAGAAGGCACAAGACCAUGUUCUUUCUCCACAAGGCAUGGUUGCUACGGAGCAUCUACAAGUAAGGUCAGGUGGAAGUGUGUUCUUAGAGAAUGCAUGCAUCUCUACGAUGAUGAAGAUCGGUAACUAUCUGCCCUCAGAUGACAUGGAUUCUGCACCAGCAUGGGUAUUAAAUAGAGCCAAAGCGUAUUUGGAAAAUGAUAUGGUUAGUCUUAGUUUUCUACAAAUUUCUAUGAAUUACAGCGAGAACGACCGAUUCAUCCUAAAAUAAUCAUUUUCUUCAUAUAUACAUUCCAAUAAACAUGGACGACGUUCACUGGUACCUAUGUGUUAUAAAUGCCAGAAAACAAUAUGUUCAAGUGCUCGACUCGCUAGGCCCAUACAUGAGCCGCAAGGACCUCACUGAUAUGGUUAGUACUUAGUCCUACUGCCCCAUCUUUUCUAAGAAGCUUUUUUUUCUUAUUUCUCGCUUGUGAUGCUUAUACUUUUCUCAUUUGUUGGUACAACAUCUAGAAGGACUGGAGGAUUUAUUCAAAUAUGCAUCCAAGCACAUGGAAUUAAAAUCCAAUAAGUGAAUUGAUCUAGAUGUUACAACAUGGAAAAGAGAAGAAUAUAUUAAGAGCAGUCUUCAGACAGAUGGGUACGCCUCCUAAUAUAACUCAGAGCAUUUAUGCUUAACAGGGCACAUUUGGUAUGCUAUUAUGUUUAUUCUAUCACUGCAUAGCAUUCCUGAAGUACAUUUGAUCAAGAGAUUUGCUAUGCCAAUGUAAUUCUUUACCUUAUUGUAUGGCAAUGCAAUUGAAACAACACCUCUCAUGAGAUCUGACCUAAAUAAUGGAGCUCAAGGCGAUACAUUUCAUUGGGCUGCAUAUAAAAAAUGUGUUACGAUUUUCAAUCUUUUUAUGCACUCAUAUGCCUACUUAGUGUAAGCAGCCACGCAUUAACUUGUAGUAUCAACUAUGCUAGCAAUAUUACGGGAGAAGCAGAGCGUGUUCUGUUAUACCAUUAGGCAAUGAGCAUAGAGCAAGUGUUUCUUUCCACACCUGCACAAAUGUUAUUUGGGUAUAACUCCAGGCCUUAUUUUUUACUUCUCCAUUUGUACCAUCCUGCAAUUGGAAGAUGCAAUGUAAAAAUAUCAUUCUACACACUUAAAGAGAUCAAGAACAAGAACUGAAAUUGCUAUUAGCAUUACCUGUAAUAUAAAUAGUGGGAACUAUGAAGCAACCGCUUUGUGAU